AUGCAUCUUCAAGCAAUUGCAUGAAGCAUGCAACCCCAUACUAACAGUUACAUAUAUCCAUAGAAUCCAAGCAAUAUCUCAAUAGGAAUGAUCUUGUGGGAAAACAUAUGAUAUUUAACGUCUAUUAGAGAUUCAAAACAAAUAUCCAAACAUUGCUUAAUAUAAAAUGAACAGUAAACAAAAUCCCUCUCCACAUAACCCAAAACAUAAUUUUUAACUUGCAAAAUAGUAUGGCAAAAAACAAACUAACAUCAACCCUACAUCGAUUGUUCAGUCUAUGAUAUUUAACGUCUAUUAGAGAUUCAAAACAAAUAUCCAAACAUUGCUUAAUAUAAAAUGAACAGUAAAAAAAAUCCCUCUCCACAUAACCCAAAACAUAAUUUUUAACUUGCAAAAUAGUAUGACAAAAAACAAACUAACAUCAACCCUACAUCGAUUGUUCAGUCUUAAAUUCUUGACAAAUUCUUCCAAGCAAACAGUGUCAUGAGGGAAGAUUACUUCUGAUUUCACUAAAAGCUAAAUGGACACAAAAAUAAAGUGCCAGACAUUUAAGAGUCGGCAAUGGUAACCUCCACUUCCACGCCAGGUUCAAUGGUAAUGGAAGUGAUCUGCUUCACGACAUCAGGGGAGCUAAAGAGAUCAAUAACUCUCUUGUGAACACGGAGCUCAAAUCUGUCCCAAGU
rnacentral:lncRNA from 1 species